rnacentral:rRNA from 1 species
UAAGAUAAAAAUUAAUUAUUAAAUUUAUUAAUAAAAAAAUUUUUAAUUAAAAUUAAUAAUAAAUGGUUUUAGUAUAUUUUAUAGAAAAAAUUAUAAAAUUUAUAGUUAAUAAGUAUUGUGAAAGAAAUUUGAAAUAAUUGAAAAUUUAUUUUUAAAAAAGUAAUUUUAAUUUAUUGUAUCUUGGGUAUCAGAGUUUACUAAUAAAAAUUUUUAUUAAAAAAUUUUCUCGAAUUAAAAAGAUUUAUUAAAUUAUAAAAGUUAUUGUUUCAUAAAUAUUUUUAAUAAUUUAAUUGAAAUGAAAUGUUAAUCGUUUUUUAAUAUAUCUAGUUUUUUUAGAAAAAAAUUUAAUUUUAAAUUUUAAAAAUAAAAUAAUUUUUUAUUUAAUUAUUUAAUUUAGAAUUUUAAUAUUUUAAGGGAUAAGCUUUAAAAUAAAUUUUUAUAAGAAUUUUUAAAAAAUUUAUUAAAAAUUUUAUAAUUUAUAUUGUUGAAUAAAUUUUAAUUUAUUAUAAAUAAUUUUAUUAAAAUUAAAAUUUAAUUUAAAUUCUUUAAUUUUUUAAGAAAAAAUAAAUAUUAAAUAAUAUAUUUUUAGUUAUAAUGGUAAAAUUAGUAUAUAUGUAAAAUAUAUUUAAUUUAAAAUAUUUAUUAUAUUAGAAUUAAUUAAAAAGAAUUCGGCAAAUUUAUUUAAAUUAUAUUCACCUGUUUAUCAAAAACAUGUCUUUUUGUUAAUAAUUUAAAGUCUAAUCUGCCCACUGAUUUAUUAUUAAAGGGCUGCAGUAUUUUGACUGUACAAAGGUAGCAUAAUCAUUAGUCUCUUAAUUGGUGACUUGUAUGAAUGAUUGGAUGAAAUAUAAGCUGUUUCUUAAUUAUUAUUAGAAUUUAAUUUUUUUAUUAAAAAGUGAAAAUAAAUUUAAAAGACGAGAAGACCCCAUAGAGUUUUAUACAUAAAAUAAUUUAAUAAUUAUAUUUAAGAAAAUUAAUUUAAAUUAUAUAUUGUAUUUUAUUGGGGUGAUAAGAAAAUUAAAAAAACUUUUUUAUAAUUUUUCCAUAGAUAAAUGAAUAUAUGAUCCAUUAUUAUUGAUUAAAAGAAAAAAUUACCUUGGGGAUAACAGCGUAAUUUUUUCUUUUAGUUCAAAUAGGAGAAAGAGUUUGCGACCUCGAUGUUGGAUUAAGAUAAAAUUUAAAUGCAAAAGUUUAAAAUUUUGAUCUGUUCGAUCAUUAAAAUCUUACAUGAUCUGAGUUCAAACCGGUUUAAGCCAGGUUGGUUUCUAUCUUUAAAUAAAUUAAAUAUUUUAGUACGAAAGGAUUGAAUAUUUAAAAUAAUUUUUAAUUUUAGAAUUUUAUUAAUUUAUUUAUAAAAAUUAAAAUUUUUAUUAUUAAAAUAAAUAU